rfam:Rattus norvegicus chromosome 12, whole genome shotgun sequence.
GGGGAUUUAGCUCAGUGGUAGAGCCCUUGCCUAGCAAGCGCAAGGCCCUGGGUUCAGUCCCCA